AGAGUUUGAUCCUGGCUCAGAUUGAACGCUGGCGGAAUGCUUUACACAUGCAAGUCGAACGGCAGCACGGGUGCUUGCACCUGGUGGCGAGUGGCGAACGGGUGAGUAAUACCUAGGAGCAUGUCCAGUAGUGGGGGAUAACGCAGCGAAAGCUGUGCUAAUACCGCAUACGAUCUCUGGAUGAAAGCGGGGGACUCGCAAGAGCCUCGCGCGAUUGGAGCGGCCGAUAUCAGAUUAGCUAGUUGGUGGGGUAAAAGCCCACCAAGGCGACGAUCUGUAGCUGGUCUGAGAGGACGACCAGCCACACUGGAACUGAGACACGGUCCAGACUCCUACGGGAGGCAGCAGUGGGGAAUUUUGGACAAUGGGCGCAAGCCUGAUCCAGCAAUGCCGCGUGCAGGAUGAAGGCCUUCGGGUUGUAAACUGCUUUUGUACGGAACGAAACGGUCCUUUCUAAUACAAGGGACUAAUGACGGUACCGUAAGAAUAAGCACCGGCUAACUACGUGCCAGCAGCCGCGGUAAUACGUAGGGUGCGAGCGUUAAUCGGAAUUACUGGGCGUAAAGCGUGCGCAGGCGGUUAUAUAAGACAGAUGUGAAAUCCCCGGGCUCAACCUGGGACCUGCAUUUGUGACUGUAUAGCUAGAGUACGGUAGAGGGGGAUGGAAUUCCGCGUGUAGCAGUGAAAUGCGUAGAUAUGCGGAGGAACACCGAUGGCGAAGGCAAUCCCCUGGACCUGUACUGACGCUCAUGCACGAAAGCGUGGGGAGCAAACAGGAUUAGAUACCCUGGUAGUC
rnacentral:rRNA from 1 species